rnacentral:rRNA from 1 species
GGAUGAACGUUGGCGGCGUGCCUAAUACAUGCAAGUCGAACGAAGACUGUAGUAAUACUGUCUUAGUGGCGAACGGGUGAGUAACGCGUGGGUGACCUGCCCCGAAGUGUGGGAUAACAGUCCGAAAGGAUUGCUAAUACUGCAUAAUAUCCAAGAGAUUAGACGCUUUUGGAUUAAAGGAGUAAUUCGCUUCGGGAGGGGCCCGCGUCCCAUCAGCUAGUUGGUAAGGUAAUGGCUUACCAAGGCGAUGACGGGUAGGGGACCUGAGAGGGUGGCCCCCCACAAUGGAACUGAAACACGGUCCAUACACCUACGGGUGGCAGCAGUAGGGAAUAUUAGUAAUGGGCGAAAGCCUGAACUAGCAACGCCGCGUGUGCGAAGAAGGCCUUCGGGUUGUAAAGCACUUUUUGAGAGGAUGAGGAAGGACGGUACUCUCAGAAUAAGUCUCGGCUAACUACGUGCCAGCAGCCGCGGUAACACGUAGGAGGCAAACGUUAUCCGGAUUUACUGGGCGUAAAGCGCGUGUAGGUGGUUUGGUAAGUAGGGCGUGAAAGCUCCUGGCUCAACUGGGAGAGGACGUUCUAAACUGCCAAGCUUGAGGAUGGUAGAGGGAGGUGGAAUUCCGGGUGUAGCGGUGGAAUGCGCAGAUAUCCGGAGGAACACCAGUGGCGAAGGCGGCCNNNNNGACCACUCCUGACACUCAGACGCGAAAGCUAGGGUAGCAAACGGGAUUAGAGACCCCGGUAGUCCUAGCCCUAAACGAUGUAGACUUGGCGUCGGUGGUUUAAUCGCCAUCGGUGUCGUAGCUAACGCGUUAAGUCUACCGCCCGGGGAGUACGCCGGCAACGGUGAAACUCAAAGGAAUUGACGGGGGCCCGCACAAGCGGAGGAACAUGUGGUUUAAUUCGAUGAUACGCGAGGAACCUUACCUGGGUUUGAACGUAGGGAGACAGGAGUGGAAACAUUCUUUUCAGCAAUGACUGCCUACGAGGUGCUGCAUGGUUGUCGUCAGCUCGUGCCGUGAGGUGUCGGCUUAAGUGCCAUAACGAGCGCAACCCUUAUUUUCAGUUACUAACAGGUAAUGCUGAGGACUCUGAAGAGACUGCCAGCGUAAGCUGUGAGGAAGGUGGGGAUGACGUCAAAUCAGCACGGCCCUUACAUCCGGGGCGACACACGUGUUACAAUGGUAAGGACAAAGGGCAGCUACCGGGCGACCGGAUGCGAAUCUCUAAACCUUAUCUCAGUUCGGAUCGGAGUCUGCAACUCGACUCCGUGAAGCUGGAUUCGCUAGUAAUCGCGCAUCAGCCAUGGCGCGGUGAAUACGUUCCCGGGCCU